ACUUUUAGACCGUGAGGCCAAACU
rnacentral:siRNA from 1 species